UACGUAGGGGCAAGCGUUGUCCGGAAUCAUUGGGCGUAAAGAGCGUGUAGGCGGCCCGGUAAGUCCGCUGUGAAAGUCCAGGGCUCAACCCUGGAAUGCCGGUGGAAACUGUCGGGCUAGAGUCCGGAAGAGGCGAGUGGAAUUCCUGGUGUAGCGGUGAAAUGCGCAGAUAUCAGGAGGAACACCAAUGGCGAAGGCAGCUCGCUGGGACGGUACUGACGCUGAGACGCGAAAGCGUGGGGAGCAAACAGG
rnacentral:rRNA from 1 species